rnacentral:lncRNA from 1 species
CUUCUUCCUCUCCCUUCUUUACUUAAAAAAUCUUUUUUCUAUUGUUCUGAAACAGGCUUGGCAGAAUUUGUAGCAAAGUCUUUAGAACACAGCCAUAUCUCAGGAUUCUGCAGAUUUGGAGCGAUGGUGGGUGAAGCUGAUCUUCUUUAUUUGUGAACCGGGGUUCACGUCAAAGGAGCCGCUCAGAUACUCUCCUGUUAGCUUUGUGAAAGCAAGCAUAAUUCACAAUAGCCAGGAUGUGGAAACAACCCAAGUGCCCUUCUACAGAUGAAAGGAUAAAGAAGAUGUGGCAUAUAUAUAUACAAUGGAAUACUACUCAGCCAUAAAAAUGACAAAAUGGUCCCAUUUGCAACAACAUGCAUGGACCUGGAGGGUGUGGUGUUAAGCGAAAUAAGCCAGACAGAGAAAGGCAAAUACUGCCUGAUUUCACUCAUAUGCGGAUGAUAACAAAUACAAGGAUAAAGAGAACAGAUUAGUUGUUACCAGAGGGGAAGGGGGUUGGAGGGUGGGCGAAAGGGACAAAGGGGCACAUAUGUAUGGUGAUGGAUAAAAAUUAGACUACUGAGUGUCUAAUGAUGAAGUGUAUUCAGGAAUUGGUAAACAAUAAUGUACAUCCAAAAUUAC